rnacentral:rRNA from 1 species
GUGGGGAAUAUUGGACAAUGGGCGCAAGCCUGAUCCAGCCAUGCCGCGUGAGUGAUGAAGGCCUUAGGGUUGUAAAGCUCUUUCACCGAUGAAGAUAAUGACGGUAGUCGGAGAAGAAGCCCCGGCUAACUUCGUGCCAGCAGCCGCGGUAAUACGAAGGGGGCUAGCGUUGUUCGGAUUUACUGGGCGUAAAGCGCACGUAGGCGGUUUGUUAAGUCAGAGGUGAAAUCCCGGAGCUCAACUCCGGAACUGCCUUUGAUACUGGCAAGCUAGAGUCCGGAAGAGGUAAGUGGAACUCCUAGUGUAGAGGUGGAAUUCGUAGAUAUUAGGAAGAACACCAGUGGCGAAGGCGGCUUACUGGUCCGGAACUGACGCUGAGGUGCGAAAGCGUGGGGAGCAAACAGGAUUAGAUACCCUAGUAGUCC